AUGGGUGCUCUAAGCUGUUCCCCCUGAGUCCCUCAUCCCCAGGGGUCCCUUCUAGGAGCUGUGCCUCCUGGUCCUGGCUUUGUUUGGACUUUGCUUCAGAAGCUGGGCUGUUGCUGGCCCUGGUUGUGACCAUCAGACCUGCUCAGCAGUUGCCCAGAACUCCUCCAAGGCACAAAUGGCAGAUGCACUUCACCUUCACUGUCCUCAAAAUGAAGCAAGGAGUUCCAUAUGGAAGUUAAGGGUCGUCACGAUGCAACAGAUGGAGCUGCGGGUUGACCAUCAAGAAACAAUUCCUGCGAAACCCAGAAGGCGGUGGGAGGAGGAGUGAUAUUUGGAAGGCUGCUUGGCUUGGUGACAGGAGGGUUCUUAUGUUCCAGGGCUGACCUGUAGUUGUGCGAGUCCUGCCCGAUCAAAACUGCGAGUUGGGCUAUAUUUAUUGCUUAAGCAUAUUACUUCCUUGUAGUAGGUUUUCUUUUUUUCCCAAAGUUUUCAUUACUGCUGUCACCGAUGGUGCUGUGCUAAUAACUGUAUUCAUGUAGAGAGA